AGUGAACGCUGGCGGCGUGCCUAAUACAUGCAAGUCGAACGAGUGGCGGACGGGUGAGUAAUGCUUGGGAAUCUAGCUUAUGGAGGGGGAUAACUAUGGGAAACUGUAGCUAAUACCGCGUACCAUAGGAUGAGCCCAAGUGGGAUUAGGUAGUUGGUGAGGUAAAGGCUCACCAAGCCGACGAUCUCUAGCUGGUCUGAGAGGAUGACCAGCCACACUGGGACUGAGACACGGCCCAGACUCCUACGGGAGGCAGCAGUGGGGAAUAUUGCGCAAUGGGGGCAACCUGACGCAGCCAUGCCGCGUGAAUGAAGAAGGCCUUCGGGUUGUAAAGUUCUUUCGGUAGCGAGGCGUUAACUACAGAAGAAGCACCGGCUAACUCCGUGCCAGCAGCCGCGGUAAUUC
rnacentral:rRNA from 1 species